CAGUAAAGAUGGCAACCAGUCUUCUGA
rnacentral:piRNA from 1 species